rnacentral:pre_miRNA from 1 species
GUCUUGUUUGGUAGCCAAGGAUGACUUGCCUCCUCACACCUCAUGGUGUUCAGGUGUUAGAAUGUAGUGCCUUGUUUUAUUUACGAGGCAGGUUGCUCCUUGUCUUACUGACAUGAUCU